ACUUGAAAACAAAACAAGAAAAUAUACUGAAGUAUCUGGUCAAAGCGGACUCAUCGUCGUGCGACCAUCCAAUUUCGCGGCAGCGAUUAAAUACCAAAAAAAAAAGAAAUAAAACAUUUCGUCGUGGUCGUCGGUCGUCGGUCGUGGGUGGCGCCUACAAUUCGUUUCUGUGGUCAAUUAAAUAGCAAAAGUCGAGUGAAAUCGUCUGCUAAAACUAAUAAAAUACUUAAUACAGUGACUAAAACAUAAGUAAUCCGGGGUUUUUGUGGCCUUUUUGCUGCUCGUAGCGACAACGUUUCCGCCCACAAAACGGGAAUUGUUCGUGUUUCGUCUCUUUCGCAUACAAGGUAAGCCAAGUGCAAUAUCUCAUCAUACAACUGGAAGCAGUACGAGUGCAACAAACUGGGUAUUUCGUCAUAUCAAGCGGCCUUUAGAGCAGACGACUGACUUUUAGUGGGGCC